GAUGAACGCUGGCGGCGUGCCUAAUACAUGCAAGUCGAGCGAACAGACGAGGAGCUUGCUCCUCUGACGUUAGCGGCGGACGGGGGAGUAACACGUGGAUAACCUACCUAUAAGACUGGGAUAACUUCGGUAAACCGGAGCUAAUACCGGAUAAUAUAUUGAACCGCAUGGUUCAAUAGUGAAAGACGGUUUUGCUGUCACUUAUAGAUGGAUCCGCGCCGCAUUAGCUAGUUGGUAAGGUAACGGCUUACCAAGGCAACGAUGCGUAGCCGACCUGAGAGGGUGAUCGGCCACACUGGAACUGAGACACGGUCCAGACUCCUACGGUAGGCAGCAGUAGGGAAUCUUCCGCAAUGGGCGAAAGCUUGACGGAGCAACGCCGCGUGAGUGAUGAAGGUCUUCGGAUCGUAGAACUCUGUUAUUAGGGAAGAACAAAUGUGUAAGUAACUAUGCACGUCUUGACGGUACCUAAUCAGAAAGCCACGGCUAACUACGUG
rnacentral:rRNA from 1 species